rnacentral:rRNA from 1 species
CUUUUCGACAGUGGUUGCUUGACUGCAGCUAAAAAAAAAAAUCACUCCGACCUCAGAUCGGACGAGAUUACCCGCUG